ensembl:lncRNA
GGAUAAGGGAGGCACCACGCAUUGCAAGGAAUACACUUUAAUCAUGUUGCCCAGCACCAAAUAUUCAUCUUCUGCCACUCUAGAUGCCAAUGCUUGUUUUCUGUCUGAGAGAAGAAACAGACAACACUUUUCACUUCAAUAAAAAUCCUUCAGAAUGAAGCAAACAGAUGACCUAAUUUGGAGGAUCUGCUCCUUUCCUUGGUUUGCAAGUGACUUAGGAGCGUGGCCAAUCUCCAGGACUUCAGGGAUCAAGUGUUAUGUUUUUAAUAUUGGUGGCUGACAGUGGAUAUGAACAACACUACAGGGCUGCAAGCAUCUUGUCUUGUAUGCACAUAGCAUCUGGAACGGCAGAGAUGACUUUAUGAUCUGCAACCAGGUAGAAACAACAGCCUGAAGAGUCCUGCUCUUUUCAUGGAUUCAUCUCCUUUAAAACCAGAUCUCCUGCCCUUUUCUUCCAGCAGAACUUAAUGCCCCAAAACCAAGGGAAGCAGGGUUAAGAAGAAUGGUGAAGAGGAAGAAACAUAAAACCUAAGUCCUCCAUCUGCUACUUCAUGGCCUGUUGCAUGAUGGAGGAAUAGCCCUAUUGUCACUGAGCUGCAAGUAGAAAAGACACCAGUGCUCCAUGCUGUCCUGAGAUCCUGUGCUGGGAGUGGAGGAAGGGGAGAAGGGAGGCAGUGGUGUACUGGAACCAGUGUGUUUUCUCCCCAUAAAUUUAGAUUCUGAAGCCCACUGAAGAAAACAAUCACUGCAAAGAAGUACCAAAUCUCUUGCAAACUCUCCCCUGAUCACUGCAUUCAAAGAUCUACCAGCAGCUGUUGAUGUAACGUUAUGGAUGUUUAGCAGGACUUCCUGUAUCUAAUGAACACAGCUCUUUCAGUGAGGAGACAAAGUGCAAUGCUGUCCCAGGAAAAUAAAAACGAUGUAACAUUCAGUCAGGAAUGCACUUACUACACGGCCUGGAAUCAGGAAUUGAUCUCAUGCCUCUGUAACAAAGAUCCCAUCUGUAGUCCCAUGUGGGGAGGGCACUGACACUGCUUCAGAAAGGACGUGGUUAUCCUGCUCCCAAAAGGAACUGAUUAGGGGAGAUGUUCCAGAAGCUAUUCGAUACAGACUGCACAACUCAGGAUGCCAUUCGUACAGAUGUACCCAGGGAUAUGGGAAGCAGAAUACGAAGUUGUGAGGUGGUGUUGGAAACAAGGACGAGGCAACACAGGCAGCUUGUAAGAAAGGCUUUCAGCAUCUUUUGUCAAAUAUCCAACUUGUGGAAACUGUGCAAGCAAGGGAGUUUUGCUUCAUCAAUACUAUAAAAUAAACUGAAGUUAAAAUGGGUGCUGCCCAAUCCAAUUGUCAAACACUGCUGCCGCAAUACAAAGACAAAUGUUUAUUGGCUUAACUUUGAAACUGCAGUAAAUGCUCUUCUAUUCAAUUAGAUAAACAAAUACAGUACUGAGUAUAUAAUGGGGUCCUUUCAAGUAAAUUAUGCUUCCUAACUCAUGUGUAAAAGAAAAAUGGCUUUUAAUGUUUAUAUUCCUGUAAAAUAAGAAACCAUCAAGGCUCUCCUUCUGUUACAUACCAAAUAUAUUAAAAAAAAAAUGAAUAAAUAAAGGAGGUUUAAAUGAUGUCCAUUUUAUGACAUGAGCAAAGGAAUAAAA